GUCGACACGUUUUUUGUGGAUGUGUGGCCUAUGUUUACGGAGGCAAUCCAGUAAAUAGGCCACAUUUAUGGGGCUAGCUAGGCCAUGUCCACCGAGCAUGUUUUGUCAGUUGACGGAGUUUGAAGGUUCUACCAAGGAUGUCAACUGUGGAGCACAUACAGGAUGCAGAGCACAGUGAUGACGUAUCACCAUGGCAACGCGUACUGCUCAACAUCACUUGAAUGAGAUUGUACCGUACCUGACAUCAUUAAUUGUAAAGAGCACCACCUGUUGUUUGGUUAUCGAUCAACAUUAAUGCAGCAGAUAAUGUAGCGGUAGGCUAUAUAGGCCUGUACGUCAGAGUUACUUCUACAACGACGAUAGGUUCAACUACAACUAU